rnacentral:rRNA from 1 species
AAUGGGUCAGCGACUUAUAUUCUGUAGCAAGGUUAACCGAAUAGGGGAGCCGAAGGGAAACCGAGUCUUAACUGGGCGUUAAGUUGCAGGGUAUAGACCCGAAACCCGGUGAUCUAGCCAUGGGCAGGUUGAAGGUUGGGUAACACUAACUGGAGGACCGAACCGACUAAUGUUGAAAAAUUAGCGGAUGACUUGUGGCUGGGGGUGAAAGGCCAAUCAAACCGGGAGAUAGCUGGUUCUCCCCGAAAGCUAUUUAGGUAGCGCCUCGUGAAUUCAUCUCCGGGGGUAGAGCACUGUUUCGGCAAGGGGGUCAUCCCGACUUACCAACCCGAUGCAAACUGCGAAUACCGGAGAAUGUUAUCACGGGAGACACACGGCGGGUGCUAACGUCCGUCGUGAAGAGGGAAACAACCCAGACCGCCAGCUAAGGUCCCAAAGUCAUGGUUAAGUGGGAAACGAUGUGGGAAGGCCCAGACAGCCAGGAUGUUGGCUUAGAAGCAGCCAUCAUUUAAAGAAAGCGUAAUAGCUCACUGGUCGAGUCGGCCUGCGCGGAAGAUGUAACGGGGCUAAACCAUGCACCGAAGCUGCGGCAGCGACGCUGAUGCGUUGUUGGGUAGGGGAGCGUUCUGUAAGCCUGUGAAGGUGUGCUGUGAGGCAUGCUGGAGGUAUCAGAAGUGCGAAUGCUGACAUAAGUAACGAUAAAGCGGGUGAAAAGCCCGCUCGCCGGAAGACCAAGGGUUCCUGUCCAACGUUAAUCGGGGCAGGGUGAGUCGACCCCUAAGGCGAGGCCGAAAGGCGUAGUCGAUGGGAAACAGGUUAAUAUUCCUGUACUUGGUGUUACUGCGAAGGGGGGACGGAGAAGGCUAUGUUGGCCGGGCGACGGUUGUCCCGGUUUAAGCGUGUAGGCUGGUUUUCCAGGCAAAUCCGGAAAAUCAAGGCUGAGGCGUGAUGACGAGGCACUACGGUGCUGAAGCAACAAAUGCCCUGCUUCCAGGAAAAGCCUCUAAGCAUCAGGUAACAUCAAAUCGUACCCCAAACCGACACAGGUGGUCAGGUAGAGAAUACCAAGGCGCUUGAGAGAACUCGGGUGAAGGAACUAGGCAAAAUGGUGCCGUAACUU